ACGAUCGAUGACAAACAAGAUAAACUCACUGAAACAUUCACAGAAAAUCAAAACGUGUUGCUGACUACAGCGUUAACAGCAACUCCAUGUCUUCCAACUCUACCAGCCCCAAUAACAUUCAAAGCAGAUGUAAAUAAAGAUUUUAAACCAGAUGAAAUUGCAAGAUUAAUAGAAUAUGAAUUAGCAGCGCCAUCUGAUCUAAUGAAGGCACUAAUGAAUGAAACGUUAGAUUUUAAUAAAUUUGAUAAGUCUUCGUGAAAUGAUCAAACACCUUAAAGGAAAAAAGGGUGGUUUUACUAACAGUGAUAAUAAACAAGAAUAUAAAGACGCGUUGUAUGAUCUUAAACUAUUGUCAAAGUAUAAAAAACUUAUCAGAGAUAAAAAUAAAAAUAAGUCAAUUAUUAGUAAAGGUAGUGGUAUUAAAAAAAAAAAAACAGAAACAACUUAGACAGCUUCAUGGUGGUGCUAUUUUUUCAAAACCAGAAGAUUUGUUAGAGAGACUGAAAAUGUUAACACUGAGUCGACAUGCUGGUAAUACGAGUAUAGUGGUGCGAAAUGAGAUCUCAGAAAUUCUCGAUCACUUGUUGAAACUUGGAAAAAUUAAAAAAAAAAUUAUAUGUAUUUAUAAAAAAACACUUGAGUUAUUAACAAUGGAAGUGCAAAAAAUAAUUCAUAAUGACACAAACAGAACUACUUUUAUCACUUCAUUAAAAGGAACUGGCAACUCAAAAAGUCAUGAUUUCAAUAUACGCUUUACUCCAGCGCUAGAAUUAGAUAAAAACAGAGACUACUAUUUAGCUCUCGACUCGAUAUCAAUGUCAUACAGUUGGUGUAAUGUGAGUGACAACUUUGACAAUAAUGAAUUAAAAUUUAGUCAUGAUUCAGGUAAAACGUGGCAUACUAUUACACUUCCGAAUGGUAAUUUUUCGUAUGAAGAAUUGAAUUCUCAUAUACAGCGAGAACUCGAAUCAGAUGGUCAUUCAAAGACAGGUAUCACUCUACAAUUUGUUCCAUCGUUGUAUAGAGUGUUGAUUACUCUUGAACAAAACUAUCAACUUGAUGUGAGAACUGGUGAGUUUGCUGACCUUAUCGGUUUUGAUAAAAAGAUCAUCACUACAACCACCUAUGGUGACAAAGUACCAAAUAUAACACGAUCUGUUGAUAAUAUUUUUAUGCGUAAAAAUAUCAUUUCUAAUAGUUUGGUUGAUGUUGUGAGAUCAGAUGUACUAGAUCGAUUUAGCGUUGAUAAUUAUGAACUGUCAUAUCCAUUUGAAUUUGUACCUAUGAGACUCAGUUUCAGCCAAAUCGAUUCGAAAAGGAUUCAAGAAUUACGAAUCUAUUUUACUGAUAAUCUUAAUAGAAUUGUAAAUUUAAAUGACAAUCCUGUUUCACCGAAGGUAGUUUUAAAAGAAGAGUAAUGUUCGUGCAACUUUUAGUAUUUCUUUUAACGACUCGUGGGUUGAAAAAGACUUCAUCUCAUAUCUCUUGAGAUGAAGUAAUGAGUGAGAGCGUUGAUCUGUGAUUUACCUUUAAAGAUGUUAAACUUAACGCCUAAGUUCGAUAAUUUGACGAUUGUCGUUAAAUUAACGUGAAAUGGUCGAUAAAGUAGAUGAGAAAAUGUGAGUGAGCUAAAGUGCCUAUUUAGGAGCUUAACCAGGAGGACUUUUCCCGACGACGCCGCCGUCAACGAGCAGUUGAGACUGGGACUAGCUCCAUUGCGCAUGACAUACCUCCGACAAACGACGUCCUCCUUCCGGCGGCGACGUGAGUUUUAAGUAUUUGACGGCGUCGUGAAAAUGUGAGAGAUUUAUGAGAUUUAAUGGCUUUUGUAGUUUUUUUUCAACUUUUCUUUGUGGUUCCCACGAUUUCAAUAGAUGUGAAAUUAUAUUUUUAGUUUAGUUUAAGAGCAGUUUCUGCCUUUUUGAUACAGUUUUUGGAAGAUAAAAAUGGCCACGGAGAUGGAUGCAACAAGCACCACACCUUCCCCCAGAUCAGUAAUGCAGUGGAAACCGGAGCAUGAUGCCAUAUUUUUAAGAGAAGUUCUUGGCUCAGAUCUCUAUUCCACUUGCAAAGGUAGCUCUGAAAGGGGAAAAAUUUGGUCAAAAAUUGCUGAAAAGUUGAAUGAAGUAUCCAGCUGUAAAUUUAUUGGUGCACCAAAAUCCCUAAGAGAUCGUUUGAAGCUUUUGCUGCAGAAGUACAAGCAAAAAAUUAAGUCAGAGGAGAUAGCUAGUGGAAUAGAUCCUGAAAUGACUGAAAUAGAUGUAAUGCUUGAGGAAAUUUGUGAGAAAGAAGAAGUGGCAGAAGAGGAAGAUGAAACUAAAAAGAAAAAAGUGAAAGCAGAAAAAGAGAGUGCACAGAAAAUGAGGUUAAAAGCCAUGGAGAAAUUGAGUGAGAGCCAGAAAAGAAAGGAUAGCAACGAGGAUGCUCGGCCCAAAAAGAGCAGAAAGAGCAUUGCUAAUGCUGUGGGCUACCUACAAGAGAUGUCAAAGCAGGAAAUUGCUUUAAGGAAAGAGGAAAUAGAACUGAAAAAGCAAGAGGAGGGAAGAAUUGCCCAUUUGUCUGAACAGCAACUUAAAAUGCAGCAAGACAUGCUGCAGAUGAUCCAGCAGCAACGCCAGAAUCAGCAAAGACAACAGCAAGAGCAGCACAGACAGCAGGAGAGGCUUCAGCAGCAACAACUCCAAACCAUGCAGUCCAUUCUAACCCAACAACAACAACAAUCACAAGCAAUACUUGCUUUGUUUGAAAAAUUUGCAAGCAAAAAAGAUUCCUAAGCAAACAGGAUAUUGUAUUGUACGAAUUAAAGUAUUCUGCUGCAUAUGGUUCACCCUGUGGAAAAGAAAAUAGUUCAGUAAUGCUGUUUGAGUGCCAUGUUGUAUAUUCUUAGAAGUUGAACAUAUUAUUGAAAAUUAAAUCAAGAUGUCGUAUUCUCUGCCUGGCUUUAAGGCUUCUAAUAUUUCAAUAUGAUUUUUAUGGUGCUAAGCAAUUUUGUUGUGUCACUUACAUCAAGGAGUUUUGUUUUAUUGACAGACAAAGUGAGAUAUUUUUUCUCCUUUUAUUACAAGGAAACAAUAUUUUCCUUUCAAGCCAGUUCCUUAACCACUGUUAGAGUUGAGUUCCCUGUACAGCUUUGAAAUUUACAAAAUAAAAAUAUUAUUAAUAAUAAUAAAUUGUUUUCAUUAAUGUCACACCAGGAUGACAAGUGUGGAAAAGUAAUACAUUCAGUGUUACUUUAUUAUAAGCUCAGUCUCCAACCAUGGAUGCCUGGAUGUGCUUGCAGUACUCCACACCAGUCAGGUGAGGAGUACUGAAGGCACAACCAUAGCU